rnacentral:tRNA from 1 species
GGAUGUAUGGCUGAGUGGCUUAAAGCAUGAUAUUUGAGCUAUCAAGAUCUUAUUGAUCCACGUGUUCGAAUCACGUUACAUCCG